UAUUGGCUUAGUUAGGAGGCAAAGAUUAAUGGAUCAUUCUUGGUCUCCUCGGGCCUUUUGAGGGGACACUUUGCUUCUUCGAUCGAUUGUCCUCCAAGCAGCCUCAGGACAUAA